AGUGAACGCUGGCGGCAGGCCUAAUACAUGCAAGUCGAACGGCAGCACAGCAGAGCUUGCUCUGUGGGUGGCGAGUGGCGGACGGGUGAGGAAUACAUGGGAAUCUGCCCAGUCGUGGGGGAUAACGUAGGGAAACUUACGCUAAUACCGCAUGCGCCCUUCGGGGGAAAGCCGGGGACCGUAAGGCCUGGCGCGAUUGGAUGAGCCCAUGUCGGAUUAGCUAGUUGGCGGGGUAAAGGCCCACCAAGGCGACGAUCCGUAGCUGGUCUGAGAGGAUGAUCAGCCACACUGGAACUGAGACACGGUCCAGACUCCUACGGGAGGCAGCAGUAGGGAAUAUUGGACAAUGGGCGCAAGCCUGAUCCAGCCAUGCCGCGUGAGUGAAGAAGGCCCUCGGGUUGUAAAGCUCUUUUGUCCGGAAAGAAAAGCGUCGGGUUAAUACCCUGGUGUCCUGACGGUACCGGAAGAAUAAGCACCGGCUAACUUCGUGCCAGCAGCCGCGGUAAU
rnacentral:rRNA from 1 species